rnacentral:tRNA from 1 species
AAAAGUUCUAAGAAUAU